rnacentral:lncRNA from 1 species
ACUCAAGGUGACUGCCUGAAUUUUGGCUAAAAUAAAGUAAGAGGACAUAUUCCCAGAAGUAAAAUUAAUGGAAAGAUGAAAAAGACUCCAGUCAUGCAUUUGGCAGCUACAGCUGACACCGAGAGGGGUGCUUCAAGUCACUGGCACAGGUCAAGGCAGCUGCCUCAGUAUUCGUAUUAAAAACUGGGAUGUUAAAUUAGGAGCCUCGGCUUAACUUAUGGAGCGGUCGCCUGGGACACGUGCGCCGGGCGGCGGAGCGCGGUGAGGACGCCUGGCGAUCAGAACGUGCCCGUGAUGCCAGAGACUGAGUUCUCUUCGCAAACGCCACUUCACCGCGGCCUGCUCUCACCUGCUGUGAAACCAGCAAACUCGACUUGAAAAGAAACGCAGUGUACGAUGUCCGCCGGGUCCCGGGGCCCCCCAGGCAAUCGGGGACACGGGGCUUAGUUCCAGCCAGGUGCCCCGGGUCCUCGGCCCCGCUUCGGGGGCGAUCCGAGAGCCGCCGCCUUUUCAUGCAAAGAGACGCUGUCGCAUGGCAACCCCCGGGAACCUUGGGAGGGAGAAGUUGCUGCUCUUCCCUCAGCGCUCAAGUCAAAAAAAAAAAAAAAGUUCUUUGGGCUUGAGCCUGGGAGUCUAGGAGCUCUCAACCGGAAGUUCCGCCUUCCGGCCGGAGCGCUUCCUGUUUGGUAACGAAGGACGCGGGACGGUUGCUAGGGCUCCCGUGGCAAUUACCGCCGCGCUGUGCAGGUGCCUGAGCUCGACGCGGGUGCUGCUCACCCGCUGUCCAGGAAGGCGGAUCUUUGCUCUGUACCUUUUCUAUACGUUCGCAGUCAUGAGUAGCGAAUUCCUGGCUGAGCUGCAUUGGGAGGAUGGGUUCGCCAUCCCGGUGGCGAACGAGGAGAACAAGAUGCUGGAAGAUCAGUUGUCAAAGCUGAAGAAUGAAAGAGCAAGCUUGCAAGAUCAGUUAUGUGAGUAUGAAGAGCGAAUUAAUUCUAUGACUUCUCACUUCAAAAAUGUUAAACAAGAGCUCUCCAUUACACAGUCUUUCUGCAAAGCAAGGGAGCGUGAGACUGAAAGUGAAGAACAUUUUAAGGCCAUUGCGCAAAGAGAACUAGGACGAGUGAAAGAAGAAAUUCGGUGUCUGGAAAAUGAGAUGGCUUCAAUACUGGAAAAGAAAGCUGACAAAGAAAAUGGCAUAUUUAAAGCCACUCAAAAACUGGAUGCUUUGAAAUGCCAGAUGAACUGGGACCAGCAAGCACUGGAGGCCUGGUUGGAAGAAUCAGCUCAUAGAGAUAGUGACGCGCUCAUGCUUCAGAAGUAUGCACAACAAGAUGAUGAUAAAAUCAGGGCACUGACUCUGCAAUUAGAGAGACUAACUUUGGAACGUAAUCGGAAAAGAAAGAUGCUUGACAAUGAGCUUACAGAGACUGUAAGUGCACAGUUAGAAUUGGAUAAAGCAGCGCAGGAUUUUCGUAAGAUUCAUGAUGAAAGAAAAGAACUCAUUAAACAGUGGGAGAACACAAUAGAACAGAUGCAGAAGAGGGAUCAAGACAUAGAGGACUGUGCUUUGGUAAAGUCGUUUGGUCCUUGUAAUUUCAGCCGCAUUUGUCUCUUUUGUAUUUAACUCAUUAUUCCAAAUGUAAAUUACAUUGUUAU